GACGUAGGGCGCGAGCGUUUGUCCGGAUUUAUUGGGCGUAAAGAGCUCGUAGGCGGCUUGUUGCGUCGACUGUGAAAACCCGCGGCUUAACCGCGGGCUUGCAGUUGAUACGGGCAGGCUAGAGUUCGGUAGGGGAGACUGGAAUUCCUGGUGUAGCGGUGAAAUGCGCAGAUAUCAGGAGGAACACCAGUGGCGAAGGCGGUGGUCUGGGACGUGACUGACGCUGAGAGACGAAAGCUAGGGGAGCGAAUGGG
rnacentral:rRNA from 1 species